rnacentral:rRNA from 1 species
UCCUACGGGCGGCAGCAGUGAGGAAUAUUGGUCAAUGGGGGAAACCCUGAACCAGCGACGCCGCGUGUGGGACGAAGGAGCUUUGCUCUGUAAACCACUGUCGGAAGGGAAGAAAAGCAGCUUUAAGCUGCCGGGACUGUACCUUCGGAGGAAGGAUCGGCUAACUACGUGCCAGCAGCCGCGGUAAUACGUAGGAUCCGAGCGUUGUCCGGAAUCACUGGGUGUAAAGGGUGCGCAGGCGGAUUUGAACGUCAGAGGUUAAAUGUCACCGCUUAACGGUGAACCUGCCUUUGAAACGGCAAGUCUUGAGUAUGAGAGAGGUAAGUAGAAUUCCUGGUGUAGCGGUGAAAUGCGUAGAUAUCAGGAGGAAUACCAGUGGCGAAGGCGGCUUACUGGCUCAUAACUGACGCUCAGGCACGAAAGCGCGGGGAGCAAACAGGAUUAGAUACCCCAGUAGUCCC